rnacentral:rRNA from 1 species
CAAUAGCGUAUAUUUAAGUUGCUGCAGUUAAAAGGCUCGUAGUUGGAUUUCGGGUGGGAAUGGCCGGUCCGCCGUUUCGGUGUGCACUUGCUACGCCCACCUUGCUGCCGGGGACGUGCUCUUGAGUUCACGCUCGGGACACGGAGUCGGCGAGGUUACUUUGAGUAAAUUAGAGUGUUCAAAGCAGGCCUACGCUCUGAAUACAUUAGCAUGGAAUAACACGAUAGGACUCUGGCCUAUCUUGUUGGUCUGUAGGACCGGAGUAAUGAUUAAGAGGGACAGUCGGGGGCAUUCGUAUUUCAUUGUCAGAGGUGAAAUUCUUGGAUUUAUGAAAGACGAACUACUGCGAAAGCAUUUGCCAAGGAUGUUUUCAUUGA